CUGGAGGCAUUCAUGGCGUCCAAAAUUGCAAAAGAGAAUGCAGAGGAAGUGGAUGAGGAACUGCGACUGGAUGAAAUUUUCCCACUUACCUCUGUCCAACAAAUUGAGGAAAUCGAGGAAAAACUCCAUCAAAAUGCAGCAUUCAAAAAAAAAUUGGUCCGUAAGUUGAGCUCAUAUGGGGGGGUCAACGGAAUGAAAACGAUCCGCACUAUUUGCAAGUGCAUUUUUACGGAUCCACUACUGGCAGAACAUUCUUGGCUGGGGACUAAUGCCAAAAAAAGUUUCAGCCAAUACAAAUUCCUGUAUAAAACUAUAUUGGAAGCGGUCCGAUCAAGGUACCCCACUUAUAGUGAAGCUGAGGGUGCUUCAUUUUUUAAAGGCUUUUUGAAGCAAGCCCCAUUUCGAAUGGGAAAACCGUCCACAAAUACCAGUUCCAACACCAGCUCCUCUGCCUCUGACGGGCAAUCCACAACAUAAUUAAGUUAAGCUAUUUUUUAUUUUUAGUUUUAGUUUUACUUUUACUUUAAGUUUUAGUUUUAGUUUUAGUUUUAGUUUUACUUCAUUAAAUAAUGUUUCACUAAACUUAAAUUUCAGCGUUCUUAUUUCAAAUAUUAAAUUUUCAGCUGGGAAGAAUCUUAUGGUUUGCAGCAUGUUGGUAAGCAAACAUUUUAUAGGUUUUUUAAAAUCUGUAAAUAACCGGUUAUAAAAAAGCUGUGAAGUAACGUUUAUUACAGGUUUUAUAAGAACCUGUACGAAGUUAUUUACAGGUUUUAUAGAAACCUAUAGGUAAGCGGUUAUAAAAAAAACCGUCAAAUAACGUUUGUUAUAGGUUUUAUAAAAACCUGUACAACGUUUAUUACAGGU